rnacentral:rRNA from 1 species
UGGGAACUGCGUUNUGAACUGGGUGACUAGAGUGUNUCAGAGGGAGGUAGAAUUCCACGUGUAGCAGNGAAAUGCGUAGAGAUGUGGAGGAAUACCGAUGGCGAAGGCAGCNUCCUGGGAUAACACUGACGUUCAUGCCCGAAAGCGUGGGUAGCAAACAGGAUUAGAUACCCUGGUAGUNCACGCCCUAAACGAUGUCGAUUAGCUGUUGGGCAGCAUGACUGCUUAGUAGCGAAGCUAACGCGUGAAAUCGACCGCCUGGGGAGUACGGUCGCAAGAUUAAAACUCAAAGGAAUUGACGGGGACCCGCACAAGCGGUGGAUGAUGUGGAUUAAUUCGAUGCAACGCGAAGAACCUUACCUGGUCUUGACAUGUACGGAACCCUCCAGAGACGGAGGGGUGCCUUCGGGAGCCGUAACACAGGUGCUGCAUGGCUGUCGUCAGCUCGUGUCGUGAGAUGUUGGGUUAAGUCCCGCAACGAGCGCAACCCUUGUCAUUAGUUGCCAUCAUUAAGUUGGGCACUCUAAUGAGACUGCCGGUGACAAGCCGGAGGAAGGUGGGGAUGACGUCAAGUCCUCAUGGCCCUUAUGACCAGGGCUUCACACGUCAUACAAUGGUUGGUACAGAGGGUAGCCAAGCCGCGAGGUGGAGCCAAUCUCACAAAACCGAUCGUAGUCCGGAUUGCACUCUGCAACUCGAGUGCAUGAAGUCGGAAUCGCUAGUAAUCGCAGGUCAGCAUACUGCGGUGAAUACGUUCCCGGGUCUUGUACACACCGCCCGUCACACCAUGGGAGUGGGGGAUACCAGAAGUAG